GGGGGUGCACUGGUUUCGACGGGGGUGUGGAAACCGGAUAAGCGAGCCGCAGUUUGUCCAGUCUGCGUUAAAAGGGACACGUUAAAUAUAAACGCUAAAAAUAACAAUUCAUUCGCACUGGCUGCAUAGUUCAGCCCCGCGCGCAUGCCCGGAUUCACCUGUAGGUCCGGUCCCAUGUGUCAAAACAUACAGGAAAACCUUGCGGGAAUGCCCGGCACCGUAAGGGACUAACGGGAUAGCUGACUUGGCAGCCUGCUUUUGGGCGGCCGAUGAUGCGAAACUUUAAAACAAAAGCUGCGCUCGGAGAAAUUCCGUUGGAAAUGCUUUCGGACAUGGGUUCGAUUCCCAUCAUCUCCACCA
rnacentral:tmRNA from 1 species